CGAGAAAAGCCUCUAGAUAGAGAUUAGGUGCCCGUACCGCAAACCGACACAGGUAGUCAAGAUGAGAAUUCUAAGGUGAGCGAGCGAACUCUCGUUAAGGAACUCGGCAAAAUGACCCCGUAACUUCGGGAGAAGGGGUGCUCUUUAGGGUGCAAGCCCAGAAGAGCCGCAGUGAAUAGGCCCAAGCGACUGUUUAUCAAAAACACAGGUCUCUGCUAAACCGUAAGGUGAUGUAUAGGGGCUGACGCCUGCCCGGUGCUGGAAGGUUAAGAGGAGUGGUUAGCUUCUGCGAAGCUACGAAUCGAAGCCCCAGUAAACGGCGGCCGUAACUAUAACGGUCCUAAGGUAGCGAAAUUCCUUGUCGGGUAAGUUCCGACCCGCACGAAAGGCGUAACGAUUUGGGCACUGUCUCAACGAGAGACUCGGUGAAAUCAUAGUACCUGUGAAGAUGCAGGUUACCCGCGACAGGACGGAAAGACCCCGUGGAGCUUUACUGUAGCCUGAUAUUGAAAUUCGGCACAGCUUGUACAGGAUAGGUAGGAGCCUUUGAAACGUGAGCGCUAGCUUACGUGGAGGCGUUGGUGGGAUACUACCCUAGCUGUGUUGGCUUUCUAACCCGCACCACUUAUCGUGGUGGGAGACAGUGUCAGGCGGGCAGUUUGACUGGGGCGGUCGCCUCCUAAA
rnacentral:rRNA from 1 species